UACGGAGGAUGCGAGCGUUAUCCGGAUUUAUUGGGUUUAAAGGGUGCGCAGGCGGCACGGCAAGCCGGCGGUCAAAUCGCGGGGCUCAACCCCGCCCAGCCGUCGGAACUGCCGGGCUAGAGUGGGCGAGAAGUGCGCGGAAUGCGUGGUGUAGCGGUGAAAUGCAUAGAUAUCACGCGGAACUCCGAUUGCGAAGGCAGCAUACCGGCGCCCUACUGACGCUGAGGCACGAAAGCGUGGGUAUCGAAUAGG
rnacentral:rRNA from 1 species